UUUUUUUUUGUGUGUGUUGUGCUUAUUAUUUUUAUUUUCUACCCGAAUCACAGAGAUGAUAACAAAGGAUUGGCCAUCAUGUCACGUCAUCGCUAUCCUGUAGAAGCUUGCCGUGUUUUUGAAAGGACUGACUUCGCAAAGCUGAAGGACACAUUGACAAUGUCUGAUAAUGUUGAUGAUAAUGAACCUUUGGAAAUUACAUCUGGAUCAACUGAUGCUCAGGAACCUUCUCAAUCGACCAAUGAUGGAGUGUCUGUAACUGAAAUAUCUGAAAAACCACUGAGUAGAAAAGAAAAGAGGGCUGCCGCUGCAAAAGCUAAGCAGUCUGGUUCAAAUGCAAAAGCCAAUAAUGGUGCUCAAUCCAAUAAAGCUACUCUGAAGACAAUUCUUGGCGAGGCAUUGGCUUAUGGCCCUGCACUUGCAGAGCAUAUCAUAUUGGAUGCUGGGUUGGUUCCAAGUACAAAGGUUGGGAAAGAUCCAGAGAGCACUAUUGAUGACAGCACUAUUCAGGCUCUAAUGGAAUCUAUUACAAGGUUUGAGGAUUGGCUUGUAGAUAUUAUAUCUGGCCAAAGGAUUCCUGAGGGUUUUAUUCUCAUGCAGAAUAAGAUGACUGCAAAGAAGAACCUCACACCCUCGGAAGGUGAUUCAACUAAUCAGAAGGUCUGUAUUUUAUCCUUGCUUACUUUAGCACUGUUGUGGAAUUUAAUAUGCAGAUUAGUUCUUUUGUUUCAUGUGCAAGAAAUGUCUGCUGUCCCACAUCACAUAUACCUGUUUAUGAUUUGGCACUGGCACUUGCAUGUUACCAUUGAUUGAUGCAAAGUCUGGAUAAUGACUGUUUUGAGUUCCUGUCUGCAGAUAUAUGAUGAUUAUUGCCCUAUUCUGCUGAAACAAUUUAAGUCAAGGGAAUAUGAUGAAUUUGCGACAUUUGAUGCUGCACUAGACGAGUUCUAUAGCAAAAUAGAAAGUCAAAAGGUGAAUCAACAGCAGAAAGCAAAAGAGGAAUCUGCAGCUCAGAGGCUGAAUAAAAUAAAAUUGGAUCAGGUAACCCUCCUCACUUUGAAGUUUUGUAGUGCAUAUUUACAAUCGCAAUUCUCGUAGUUUUUGUUUCCAUUGGAGGGGUUUUGUUAUCUUAAUUUUGUCUGCAACAUAAUAGGAGUUCUGAUAGUCCAUCCUUCUUCUCUGCCAUGCAGGAGAAUCGUGUACAUACAUUGAGAAAGGAAGUGGACCAUUGUGUCAAAAUGGCAGAACUGAUUGAGUACAAUUUAGAGGAUGUAGAUGCAGCAAUUUUGGCUGUGCGUGUUUCUCUUGCAAAUGAAAUGAGUUGGGAAGCUCUUACUCGCAUGAUUAAAGAGGAGAGAAAGGCUGGAAACCCAGUAGCAGGUCUUAUCGAUAAGCUAAAUUUUGAAAGAAAUUGCAUGACCCUACUCUUGAGCAAUAAUCUUGAUGACAUGGACGAGGAUGAGAUAACUGCACCUGUGGAAAAGGUAUGUUGCACAAGUUACUAGUUUGUCUCCAUGGAUGCUGUCUGUAGCAUGGAAACAUAUGUUUUUUUUAUCAUUCUGAAACAUGUUGACACCUUUUACUUUAUGGUUCUUUGGACCUAAUAUUCCUGGGAUGAGCUACAUUCUAUUCGGAUCAUUGGCUCCUUGACCCCCCCCCCACCCCCCACCCCUGCUAUUGAUUCAACAUUAUACAUACCAUACACAGGUUUUUAUUUUGAUUCUUGCAUUUUUAAAUUUUUCUUUUUUGGAAUGAAUUGAAAUUCCUUCCCUUCUUUUUUCUCGAACAGCCAUGUAAAGUACAUUUACUUGAUCGAUCAACACCUACCCAGAUGAUCCCAUUGUGCUCUACCUGUCACAAUUUGCCUCACAAACUCAUGAUGCAUUUCUGGUCUUGUUACGUGUACCUAUAUUUCACUAUCAAUCUUCACGUUGUUUUCUUAUCAAUCUGACACUACCUUUUUCAUUCUUUUAGGUAGAGGUUGAUAUAUCACUUUCUGCACAUGCAAAUGCAAGGCGGUGGUAUGAAAUGAAGAAGAAACAGGAAAGCAAACAAGAGAAGACGAUCACAGCUCAUGAAAAAGCAUUCAAAGCAGCCGAGAAGAAGACACGUCUUCAGCUGGCUCAGGUACCUUAGAUAACAUAACUUGUAUUCAUUGGUUAUUAAAGCGGUAUGGCUGGGCAAGUUGCUUAGGCACCACCUGUACGCUUAAGUGCUCAAGGCAGGCUAUGCAGCGAUGCCUUGAGGCUUGUUGUACGAUGGGAUCGUGUCUGCUCCUGCUGUGUGUGACUACAUCCUGGAUGUAAAAGGCCUAUGUGUUGGGCCUUGCUGUUGGCCCACUUGGCCCAGGGUUUUAGGUUUUUGGGAAUUGUUGUUAAUGAACACUGCUUGAACAAGCCUUAUGUCAUAUAUGUUUGUCUUGAGAAAACUGUCACAUUCAUUUGUCUUUUCUUCUUUGCUAGCAUAGAGGCAUAAUUCAUAAGAAAGGUUGGUAAUUAAAUGGAAGGCUUUUAUUGAACCAAUUAUUUUGUUUUUUCUUUGUUUAGAUGAUGGCAUACGUUUGCUGUCAUUGUUUCAAAAAGUUGACUUAGUUUAUUGUCCUUUCACUGUUCAGUUGUAAACAUAACUUUCAUAUCUGGACAUUUUUAGGAAAAAACUGUGGCUGCAAUCACUCAUAUGCGCAAAGUUCACUGGUUUGAAAAAUUCAAUUGGUUCAUCAGCAGUGAAAAUUACCUGAUUAUCAGUGGCCGAGAUGCUCAGCAAAAUGAGUUGAUUGUCAAGCGGUACAUGUCUAAAGGCGAUCUGUAAGUACCCUUAUAUCUAUUCUAAUUUGCAAACAAUUUCAAUACUUUUUUUUUCCUCAGUUUGUCAAAUUUUACAGUUGAUAAUCGAAAACAUGCUUCCACUGUAAUGCCUCAGUUUUGUAGUGCUAUCAAAUGUUCAUUUUUGUUCCAUGAAUCUUAUGGAGGCUGCUUUUUCUGUAAUAGGUAUGUGCAUGCUGAGUUACAUGGAGCUUCCAGUACUAUAAUCAAGAAUCACAAACCUGACACUCCUAUUCCACCAUUAACACUAAACCAAGCAGGAUGCUUCACUGUGAGUUCAAGAUUGUCUCUAAACAUUUUACUGCAAUAACUUGAAAAAGCCAGGGCUCAUAUGAUCCUGGGCUUCUGUUGCAGGUUUGCCACAGCAAAGCAUGGGAUUCAAAAAUUGUUACAAGUGCUUGGUGGGUGUAUCCACAUCAAGUUAGCAAGACAGCUCCUACUGGCGAGUACCUUACUGUUGGUAGUUUUAUGAUCCGUGGCAAGAAAAAUUUUCUCCCACCUCACCCUCUUGUUAUGGGCUUUGGUAUCCUCUUCCGCUUGGAUGAGAGCUCCUUGGCAUCUCAUCUAAAUGAAAGGAGGGUUAGGGGUGAAGAUGAGGCCCUCCAAGAAAUUGAAGCUGAGUCUCGCAAGAAGCAAAGUAACCCUCAAUCUGAUGACGAAAUUGCUAGUGAAAGUGGUUCAAACAAGGAAACACAUGAAGAUGAAUCAAGCAGGGAAAAUACAAACAUUGACCAAAAUAAUAAGCUGGGUCUUUCUGAUCUGUCUACUGAUAUUGCUACGACCAACUCUCUUGAACCACUUGCUGAAACCCAAGUUGAGGAAAAAUUGGACAAUGGGAAUUCCAGUUCAAAGGAAGAAACUGUCGAUGCUUCUGUUUCAUCUCAACUUGAUGAUCUGCUUGAUAAGACUCUUGGCCUUGGCCCUGCCAAGGUGUCAGGUAAAAGCUCUCUGCUCAGCAGCAUCCCUUCCAGUUUAGCAGAAGACAAUGAUGAUCUUGAAGUGAUAAAACCAGCAGUGAGAGACAAACCAUACAUAUCAAAAGCAGAGAGAAGAAAAUUGAAGAAGGGCCAGUCAACUGGUGAAGCUGCUACUGAUUCCCAAAAUGGUGAAGCUGUAGAAACACCUGGUGCUUCACAGCAAGAAAAAGGGAAGGCAAACACAAAGGCUGGUUCCGAAGUAAGUGAGACAGAUACUUCACAGCAAGGAAAAGGAAAGGCAAACACAAAGGCUACUGGUUCUAAAGUAAGUCAGCCAGGUAGUUCACAGCAAGAAAAGGGCAAGGGAAGCACACAGGCUGCUAAUCCUAAAGUAAGUCGCGGACAGAAGGGCAAGCUUAAGAAGAUUAAAGAGAAGUAUGCAGAGCAGGAUGAAGAAGAAAGGGAAAUUCGUAUGGCAUUGCUUGCGGUAAUAACAUUAUUUAUCAUUAUGAUUUCUUUCCUAUUAUGUUGCCUUUUCCCUUUGGUAACAUCAAGUUUUAACAUUUCCCCUCAUACCUGUCAUGUUAGUCAUCUGGGAAAGCUUUGCGGAAGGACAAGUCUUCACAAGAUGAAGAACCCACUGCUAAAGAAUCAAAACCAUCAGCUGGUACUUUGACAUUUUCCUCUUAUUUUCAGGGUUUUACAUGUGAGAUUUGAUAACUCCUUACCUGGAUAGUGAUGAACUGAUUACUGCUCAUUGUUCUUUCUACUCUGUACAGUAGCAACUUCUUCUGAAUAUUCUGUUGAUCAGUUGGCUGAUAGUUGACUUGCUUUUUAUUUGAGUUUGCUUAAUAAUGUUUCCAUACAUAUGAAACUGGAAAAUGAAAAUUUUAGUGCAAAAUAUCAUUUCUUGUUUGGCUGUUCAAAACCUUUACACCUUUUACUCUUACAGGUGAAGAUGACUCAUCAAAAAUAUGUUAUAAAUGCAAAAAAGCUGGACAUCUUUCUCGUGAUUGCCCAGAAAGUACCUCUGAGGCAGACCGAAAUGACGUCAGCAUUAGUAGAAGCAGGGAUGGCAUGGGUACAAGUACCGCUCCUGCUGGUGGCAACAGUGCCAUGGAUGAAGAUGAUGUUCAAGAGAUUGGUGAUGAAGAGAAAGAAAAACUAAUUGAUUUGGACUACUUAACUGGGAACCCACUACCAAGUGAUAUCUUGCUCUAUGCUGUACCUGUGUGCGCCCCUUACAACGCAUUGCAGACAUACAAAUAUCGCGUAAAGAUUACCCCGGGCACAGCAAAGAAAGGAAAAGGUAUGUCAGGCGACAAAGUCUAUUAGUUUCACCUUUUCAUUUUUUAUGUUUUUCUCCUGGUGUAUCAGUUGUCCUGAUACCCGAGUAUGUUACUUUCAGCUGCCAAAACUGCUAUGAGCUUGUUUCUGCACACUCCUGAUGCAACCAACCGUGAGAAGGAGCUGAUGAAGGCAUGCACAGACCCUGAACUGGUGGCUGCUAUUGUUGGGAACGCCAAGAUCACAGCACCUGGCCUCACUCAGUUGAAGCAGAAACAGAAACAGAAGGGGAAGAAGUCUGCAAAACAGAACUAAUGUGAAAUCGCCAUGAUCGAAAAACUGAAGUUUUGAUCCAUCUCUGAUCUGGAAAGGUCUGCAAAUGUUGCGAUUGGUUUGAGUCACCUGGAGAUUGUUGACAUACGCAUUUAGCAUUUAUGAAGUUUAUGCCUUUGGCAUUGAGACUCGAGAGGCUGGAAAGCCAGGCAGAGGCGGUAGCAGCAGCAGCAGCAGCAGGUGUAUACACUGGCAGUCUGAUUGCCAAUUUGCUGUUGACCUGGGAAACUUCUGGUGUAGACAGGCUAAAAAUAUUCGUAAAUUCACUUGAAAGUCACCUGUGAUAUACUUUUGUUCGUUAUAUUUUUAUGUGACUUCGGUGAAGUGUGAAGCAUCUCUUUGGCGUUGAGAGGCCGGGGAUGCAAUGCUAGUAUGCAAUAGAGACUGGCGGCAUAUUGGACCAAAUUGAACGUCUAGGACAGAGCAAUAUGGGUGCCCUUUUGCUGUUUUUAUGGAAAGUUCUGAUGUAAAUAACUUAAAUAAAAAAAGAACAUAUGUUUAUUUCGAAGUCGUGUUGUGUUUACGAUACAUUUAUAGGAACUAUGGGUUGUUGUUUUCCGUUUCCAUUGGGAAUUAUUGGUUGUCGUUUUCCGUUUCCAUUAGACCUGAACUGAUUUGCUAAACCCAAUGAUCUUGUCGCUCCGUGCACGAACCUAAACGGCUAAACCUCAUCCAGAACCAUCUGGCAUUCUGCAUAUACAAUCAUACAGCACCUCUUCCAGAGCACCACUGGCCUCGCGGAUUCCGUUGCAAUGGUGAUCUUCGGGCUGGACUUAUAAGCCGGCUGAAAAGCUGAAACGGCUGAUUUGUUGUGAGAGAAAAACACUAUUCGGUGGCUGAUAAGUCGGCUGAUAAGCUGAAGCUAACAGAACCAACUUAUGUUUAACUCUGAGAAAACGUCCAAGUCCACAGGGAAUUUCCAAACUCUUGAAGAAGCCAUAAAAAAAGUACUCUUCUGAUGUCACUAGAUUUGCCCUUGCUGAUGCUGGCGAUGGUAUGGAUCAUACAAACUUUAAAAGUAAUUAGUCUAUAUCCUUUUUCUUCUGCGUUACCCCCUGAUCUUUUGCAAAAUAGCGCCUGCCAUCCUAGGCCCGCUCUUUUAUGCGUUAAACCUUCAGUUUACAUGGGUAUUUAUAUUUUUGUCCUUAGUUUCUUCAAGUUUAGCCCCUAGAAGUUUAGUUUUCUUGCAGAUAAGCCCCUACACCUUGUUUAGUUCAUAUAUUUAGCAUUUUAGAUCCGUUUUAAGCGAUUCUUGUGUCUAUGAGUUCGUGUUGAUGCAUAGAUUAGUUUUAUGAUCUUGUUUUUCUCUGUUGCUACUGUUUGGUCUAUUAUUUUCUUAUUUUAUUCCCUUAUUUGCUUGUAUGUGCUCGUGUGAUGCGUAUAGAAGGAUCGUAGUUCGAGGAAUUUGAAGGUCAAGACUUUGAAGAAUUCGAGCAGCAGGAGCAAAUCCAGGAAGGCAAGUCGUGCCUUUGAUCACCAUUUGAUCCUAUGAAAUUUUUACUUUCAUGUUCAAUACACAUAUGGUAUGCACGUUAAUUUUAUAAACAUGAUGGGUCCUAUUUAUGGUGUGCCUAGUUUUAUUCCCUAUAUCUUGGUCAACCUGGGUUAUUUUAAUGUUGGGUAGUUCUUGCUUAGUUGCUCAAUUUGGUUACGGUGGUAUUAAUAAACCAAUGCUUAAACCUGUUUUAUUUAUGCUAUACCUUUCAUUAAUACAACAUCACCAUGCUUAAUUGGAAUAUGGAGCGACCAUCCAGAAAAACAGUACAACCACAAGAACUAUAUGGCUCUGGUCUUGGCUAAUUAAUUAGAGACUCUAGUCUGAGUAAUCUAACCGAAAGAGGAAAGGGGAGGCGUUGAUGGGGUAUAGCCCGACCCUUCUGCUCUAUGGUAGCUUUACAGUCUUGAGAGAGAUUUAUGCUCUGCUUCGACCUGAAACCUUAGCAUGUUACCAUGUACUAAGGAAUCUUUGUAAAGACCUUAUAGCGUCCCUAUGCAAUCAUACCUCGGAAGUGUGGUAUUGUGCCUGGCCCGCACAAUAUGGUUGGGUUUAAAGUUUCUUCAAACUUUUACGCAACUUGUGGGUAAAGAUGUGCAACAUCUACAGAGUGUAAAACUGAUCAAUCAACCGUGCUCACGGUCAAGAGUGACCUGGACCCUCACAUUAUUAAUUUAUCGGAAGUCGAAUUAAAUUGUUGUUAUUUAUUAUUGUUAUCUUUAUUUAUGUUCAUGUUGGUGGUAUAAACUUAUACUUAGUAAUUGCUAAUAAAAUUUGACCAACCAAUUAAAAUGUUAAAUUGCUAUUAAACCAUAGCCUGUUCUUGAUUGGCCUUACACUAUACAUUCCUCACGCUUGCUGAGCACCAACUAUAAGUGUACUCACCCUUACUAAAACCGCUAUUUAGACCAAGUCAACUUCGAGGAGAUUUUCUUCAAGACUUCGAGGAGUUCUAGGCGUACGUGUACCUCCAGUCAACUGCACGUGGAGUCGUCUUUGUUGGAGUUCCGCUGCUAGAAUAAAGACUCUGUUUUGCUAUUCGUAUAAAGACUAUCAGUUAUGUAAUAAAUAUAAUACUCUCUUUAUGUUAUAGCACUAUCUAUAAUAUUUACUGAAAUCAUUGCAUGUGUGUAAUCUUCGCACAUAUGUUAUUCGUGCAUUUGAUUUUGCCUUUAAAACUGGGUGGGACACGCUGAGGCCGGUCGAUUGAUUGCUUAUGCUACCGUUGGGCUUACAGAUCACUGUAGAUCUAGUGUCCUCUGCUCCAGCACGCGUGAGCCGUCCGAUUCCCCGUUUCCUCCGCGCCAGCCCUUCCGAUGCUCUGCCUCGCUCGCUCCCCACCCUAGCAGUCAUUACCGACCCGCGGCGGCGGCGGCGGCGGCGAGCACACGUGCGAGGCUGCGACGGCGAGGAGCUUUGCGCGCGAGGCGAGCUACGCGCGGGACGCAACGGCGACGUCAAUCUGCGCCCGGGACACCGCGGCGGCUGGCGAGCACGUGCGAGGCGCGGGCAGGUAAUGGCAUCUCUCAAGACCGGUGCGUUCCUCGCUCGCCCGUUGGAUUUGGGGGUUAUGGUUUUCUAGAGUUUGCAGAUGAUGCUGAAUGGGAGAGGAGGGAUGCUGCGCAAUGCUGUGACUCCGUUCGGGAAGCUGUUCAAUCGGAACGCCGCAUGUUCAUGUGCACGCACGCCCAAGUUAUUCAUCGGCGGUAAAUCCUUUCGACCUUUCCCAUAUGAUUUCUUUAAGUGGAUCGCUUUCUGCUGUCAGAUUUAGAGAGAUAGCAUUAUCGCACCUGAUCAAAUUCUUCCUUUUUAAUUUCCAAUGGGAAGGAUGUUAAGUGGUGUGAUGGGUUCAAUUUGGGGUGUGCUGAUGCUGAUUAUUGCCUUUUAUUUCUUGUAAUUGUAUAAUAAAGUGCAGGUCUUUCUUACGAUACAAAUGAAACAGCUCUCAAGGAUGCUUUCUCUCAACAUGGUGAUGUUAUUGCAGGUAUUCUUACCAAUUUAUGAAUACGAAUGUAUGUUGUUGCUAUGUAAACGCGUGCACCUGUAUCUUGUGUCGUACAACGCAAAUCAUCCUCUUAUUUCUUAGAAUAUGCACCGCAGUGAAGGUGAUAUGCCAUCCGACAACGGGGAAGUCGAAAGGAUUUGGUUUCGUUACAUUUUCUUCGGAAGACGAAGCUGCUGCAGCAGUGCAGAAGAUGAACGGUGAGGCAAGUGCUCCUCACUAUCUUCGUCGACAUUUCUCAAGCCCAGUUCUCUCGGAACAAUGUGCGGCUAUGCGCUCACCUCUCUAUUGCUAACCCAUAUUUCCACACUGAAAUUGUUUCAGGUGCUUGAUGGAAGGACCAUUCGGGUGCAGUACUCAGACAGUGGGCGAUCUGACACUACCGAUUUAGAUGCAUAAUUGCAUUUUCCUUGCCGUGUCUCCAGCAACACAUUUUUCAUCAACAUCCUCCAGUUAGUGACAAGGCAGUCCAAGGCAAUAGUCAGAUCACCCAUCUUCUCAAGCCCUCGACAAUGUAAGUGGCAUAGAGAUCCCUGUUAAGCAAAGCGGCACCACAUGAGCUCCAUGCAGGUCACUUGAAAUAGUUAACUACUCAUGCCUCGACUUGAACUUAUUGACAGUCACAACUCAUACCUGAGAAUCAAAACUCAUAUGAAAUGGCUUUUGAGGCAACGACUAUGUAGCAGAGUUUUAGUUUUUGUUGCCAAGAAUGAGAUUGAUAUGAUUUUAGAGAAGGAACAGAGGCACUAAUGCCCAAUUGCCCCCCCCCCCCCCCCCCCCCCCCCCCCCCCCCCCCGGUCGGCUCACUGGGAGGGGGAUGACAUUGACUGAGGAAGUAGGCCUUCUCAGUGAACACAAGACAAUAUCAGCUAUAGCAUGUUGCUGAGGCAGUUAAAUUAAGCACCAAUUUUCAGCAUCGUAACAUAUUGCAGACUAGGUACGUAUAAUCUGAAUAUCUUAUCCAAAGACAAAUUUAUCAACAAAGUUAUCAGCUAUACAAAAAAAAUUCCGUGUGCUCUACGCUUAGACAAAGCAUUGCAAUAUUUUGCAUGCACUUAGUUCUCUCUGCACCAGUACACCGUGCUACGCCGCCUUGAUGACCCUGAAGGAGUCCAUGACUCUCCUGAGGUCCUCCUCUUCCUGCAUGAACACCUGCUCCGGCGUCUGCAACCGCAGCUCGUACAGCCGCUUGUUCUCGACGCCGAGGACCGACAGGUAGCGCCUGUCCCACUCCAGGCUUUGCACCCUGUCCUGCGGCAUCACCGCCAGCUCGUUGUUACUCGCAUAGGAUUUUAUGUUCACCUGCAGGAAAGAAACCAAGAGCACACACAUCUGAGUUUUCAAUCCAAGUUAUUGUGAGUUUAACCACUUGUGAAUUAUAAACGAAACUUGCAGCGUUUUCUGUCUGUCACCUCAACUUCGUAGUAGAGCUUGCCAUCGUCAGCGACCUUGGACAACGCCGACAGGACGUUCGAUUCGCGCCGAACGCCCAGCCUGGUCGACAUGAACUCCGUCAGGUACUGCUUCAGAACCUUCUCCGCAGCCUUCUCCGGAGGGCCUAGAUCCUCGACGCUGGUGUAUUUUGACGACGAAGGGGAUGAUAUCUCGACUGACAUGUUCUCAUCGAGGACGAAGGGGUCUCUGAAGAAUAUGUCAGCGCCAGCUCCCUUGACUUGGAUCCAGCUCUUGGGGUACAGGAAGGUGUAGCCGUCGAAUGUGUCGAUGUACUCCCUGAAUGUGCCACCGGUUGUCUCAGCUAGUGUGAUCUGUUUUGGCCCUAAGAUUAGGACCGUUGAAGUGGAUAGCAUUGUUGACAGCACAUUCCUCCUGGGAACUGCAGAAAUAUUAGUGCUCGCAGUUUGCGAAGAUGUAAUAUUUGAAGACAAGUAAUAAUCAAGCAAUGAAAAGAUUCUUCAAUAAUCUGUGUGUCUGCCAUCUUUCCGUUUGUUACCUCUUCAAUUUCAUGACAUACUGCAGAUGAAAACUAGGACAAGAAGAGCUUCAGAUUACAGCUAUCUUAGUCAUACUAGCAGUCUUAUCUUAGAUAAAAUGUUUACUUGUAAUAGGUAACCAUGCUAAAACUGUUGCAUGACUGCACAAAAUUUAUAUGGAAUAGUGACAAGUCUUGUAUUAUCAGUUUUCAGUCACCACGUUUCCUAAUUGCAUGACUUCUGCAUCAUGACUCCUUUCGAAGUGACCAAUGUUAAAACUGUUAAAUCUUUGAUUGGAACAUGAGUGUAGGCUGAAUCUUAGUAGGCAACAAAUUCCAAGCAGACCUAACCUAACAGAAACUGUUAGGUAACUAAAUUCUACUGUUUGAAUUUAUCAAUACCGUUAUACAUAAUGGUCAACACUAGUGUAUACAGGACAAAACAGAAAUUGUGAGUUGUGACAGCACAGCUAGUAAAUUUUUGGAGCCUUGCUCAUGUGUAGUGUACUUCAAACUUGUAGGCUAGUUCCUCCUUUGACAAACACAACAAUGUAGCGAAGGGUGGGAGCACUACCAUCAACUUAUUGUAAUACUCCAUUUACACUAAUUUCAUGACCUGUAAACAGCACAAAAUGCUAAAACUAUCCUAAUCAAUCCACAACAAACACCAUGCCAGUCAUUGUCACAUGUCAAUUGCAGUAAUUUCCAACCAAAAGAAGGGUAAGCUUUGGUUAUUGUCACCUGGAACAUCCAUGUGGAAAUUUAGUUAGUAAAGAGUGACCAGCAUGGUGAGUUAUGGUCAUUCCCAACUGGAACAAACCCAUUUGGAGAUUUCGUUAGGAAAAAGUGGCCAACAAAUUGGUGGUGAUGGAACAAACUGACAAUAGUGUCUACAAUUCUAUUCUACAUUCCACCGACAAGUGCAGCAACUCCAAGCAACAGCAGCAGCAACAACAAUAUAGCCUUUCAGUCCCAAGCAAAUUGGGGUAGACUAGAGUUGAAACCCAACAAGAGCCACAAAUCAGGGUUCGGGCACAUGAAAGGUGCAGCAACUCCAAGAUUGCUGGAAAAUAAGGCACAUGCGCAUGCUGGAUGAACCAAAGCACACAAGUGAGAAGAAGCCAGCAGCCAGCCAGGUCAUAUGUGAUCACUAUCAACACGGAAGACUUGAAAUGGCUACACGGAAGACUAAGAAUGGCUACACCGUUAUGCACCAUAUGUGGCACAGCAAUACAGUAGAAGUUCUUAGACUAAGACCUAGUUACUGAGAACGACAGAGCACUGGAAAUAACAAGAAAAGGACAAAGAAAAUGACUAAAAGGUAAGGACUCGACCAAAACCGUGCGUCUUCAAACACAUGAUGUAAAAUAGCACAACUCGGAAAUGUUCCAUCACUCAAUGCAUGUGGAAAUCUAAUGUGAAUCCCACGCUUGAGGAAGAACCAUCCUGACUAGAAAUCUACAAUUUGAAAUUUGAGAUCAGCUUUUUCUGCACAUGUUUAAUUCAUCUGAGCUAAGCUUUAAUCUAAGUUACGGAACUCAUGUCUAGUAACAUUCCUCCUAGGAACUGCAGAAAUCUUAGCUGCUCGCAGUUUCUACAGAUGUAAUGAUUUGUAAACAAGUAAUAAUCAAGCAAGGAUAAGAUUUGUCAAUAUGUGCAUGUCUUCCAUUCAGUUUGUUACCUCUUCAAUUUUGUGACAUACUGCGGAUGCAAACUAGGACAAGAAGACCUUAAGAUUGCAGCUAUCUUAUUAGUAAAAAAAGUCCCCUUUAACACAAGCAGUCCUAGAUAAUUUUUUUUACUAGGAAAAUUUAGUUUGUAGUAAUCGACAGGUUAGAUUCUAUUAUGCUACAGCUAGUCACGCACCGAAGCAUUUUCAUGAAGCAUGAGCCAGGAACUACGAUACUACAUAACUACAAAUUUUUUUCUUUGACAAAAUGACAAAUUUUGUACUGUCAGUCUGUUGCAAUCACCACGUUUCUAAUUCAUAACUUUUUGCAUAAUGACUGCUUUCGAAGUUAAAGAUGUUAAAAUUGUUCCAUCAAUGCUAUCGGUUAUCUUGUCUGGCCUGUAGAGUAGGUGGAAACUGAAUCUUAGUAUGCAAGAGUUCCAAACAAGUUCCAAACAGAUUCAACCUAACUAAAACUGUCAGCUAACUAAAUUCAACUGUUUGAAUAUGUCAACAGGAUUAUACAGAGUAUUCAACACUAGGGUAAAUAAGACAGCACAUAAAUUCUGACAGCACAGCUAGCAACUCUUGGAUCCUAGCUCUUAUGCAGUGUACGUCAAACUUGUAGGCUCCUUGACAAAUACAAAAAUGACAUGAUGAUAGAUGGCACACCAUCAGCCUAUUGUAAUAUUCCAUUUUGACUGCAUGACCCAUAAAUAACGAAAAUGCUAAAACUGUCCUUAUCAAUCCACAACAAACACCAUGUCAGUCAUUUUCAAUUGCAGCAAUUUCCAAUCAAUAGAAGGGUGCGGUAUGAUCAUUCCCAACUGAAGCACAUCCAUGUGGAAAUUACGUUAGGAAAAAGGGGCCAGUGAAUUGGAAUUGAUACAUCGAACUGACAACAAGGCACCGUGUGCUGAACAGGCCAAAGGUAGGUAACUUGAAGUCAGGUCAUAUGGAAUCACUAUCAACUAGCAAGACUUGAAGUAGCUUACUGUCAAUUGCAUCAUAGCAAGCAGCAACAAACGUGAUAGAAAGUUCUUAGCCGUGACCUCCAGUUACCGGGGGCACAUAAAGAGCACCGGGAUUCUGGAAAUAACAAGAGAAGGAUUAAAAAGGAGUGACUAAGAAUAAAAAGUGAGGACCCGAUCAAACCCGCGUGCCUUGAAAUGUGCACACGAGAUGAAGGAACGUUCCAUCAAUAAAUUUUUGUGGAAAUCUGACGUAGAUUCAUUGCACGCUUGAAGAAGACCAUCCAGACUACAAGUCCAAGGCAGUCAAGUGACUAAGUGAGGUUGCUGUUCGGACUUUGGGAGCGCCUUCUUUUUCUGCUAAUAAUCUUCCGGCAGUCCAGACACAAUUGGGGACUGAGACUGAGCUAAGCUACACUUGCCAACCUCAGUGUCAGAGGACUAAACUUUGAUUAAAACAUCGGCAUGUACUCCAUCCGUUCCAAAUCACUAUUCGUUUUGGUUUUUCUAGAUACCUAACUUUUGCUACGACAUAUAUAUAUAUAUAUAUAUAUAUAUAUAUAUAUAUAUAUAUAUAUAUAUAUCUCGAUCCAAAGCAAAAAACAGUCAAAACAAAUAGUAAUUUAGGACGGAGGAAGUAGUACUAGCUUGAUCCCCAAAACGCAGAAAUGUAACAAGCAGAAGCCUCUGUCCAGUCACAAAUCCUAAUUGGGCAAGUGCAGCUGUACUCGUACAGCAACAACGCCAAUCUCUCUCCAAACACGCACGAAUCGCCUAUCUAGAAGAAGUGAAAACCGGUCUCGUGAACGCUCGCUCCCUACCUCCAUUGAUCCAACCCAACAGGACGACGCAGCCGCAGACCAGCAGAAACAAAAAUCGAGAAUGAUUGAGCAGGCAAGGCUAGAAGGAAGAGCGCGUACCAGCAGGGAGGACGCCGCCGCCGCGGCGUCUGCAGGACACCUCGGCGCGUGGGGAAACAGCGGCGGCACGCGUGCGGGGCGGGCUCCUCCGUCCGCCGGAGAAGGCAGUCGCUGCUGCUGCGGCGGCGGCGGCUGCCAUGGGAGCUGAGCAGUGAGCUGAGCUCGGCUCUGCUCAAGCGGAUAGAGAUAGCCUUUUUUUUCCGACGUGGACGAAUGAGAUGCUUCGAAGCACACGAGAGCGCGGGGCUGUCCACGUCUGAAUGGCGGCCCACGACACGCCCGGCCCACGUCCGGCCCACGAAACAGAGAGAGAGGCCCCCCGGCGUGCGAGCCAGAAAAUUAUACUCCUCGGUUCAGAAAUACAGGGGCAGGGGCAUUUGAAAUAGGAAAAGUCUUCCAAGGUGACUUUGACUCUUAUAACUUUUAUAAUAUAAUAUGAAUUAUUCAAGACUCAAUAUCAUUAAAAAAUACUUUGAAUAUAAAUAUACUGAUGCAAAUUUUAUAUACUAAAUGCUUAUAACUUAACUAAUUAUUGGCAAAAAUUUGUAAAGUUUUAUUUUUUUCCUAAUGAAAAUAUGUCUAUCAUUUCCGAACGGAGGGGGCAGAUCCCUACUAAUAUUUGGAUGAGCGUUACCUUUUUCAUGUUAGUUUAGCCCUGAACGUUGUUCUAUUUUCUGGCAGGGUGAAUAAUAUUAUUGAACACUACUACUAUCGGUACUUCAUCGAAGUACCACAAGAGUCUUUGUUUCAGAGGUCUAGUCGGUCAAACUUAAUUGUCAGCAUUGAAAGAGAGAGAUUUAGAAGAAAAAAAUGUGCUAUCAAGAGUUCAUCAUGUUGCAAGCAUGUCUCCAUCCUUCGCAGCCGCUCUUCCUUGGCUAUACAGAGUAGUCAACAAGCCAACAAAGUUCAAGGCUGCCGUACUGAUGAGAGAGAGAGAGAGGUGUCACCUCAACUCAAGACAAAUGUGUCAACGUGUGCACGGGACCCUGUGUAUAUGCGUUGGUGAUGGAAACGUCGGCCGUGAUAGGUGGCCGGAUGGCCCUAUCUUGUGCCAUAUAUGCGGCUAUGCACCGCAUGUUGCAAUUUUCUACUCCCUACAUGUAGGGCUUUGCUUUGUCAAAGUUUGGUUCGAAUUUAUCCUUUUGAAAUCGUUCACGAGAUAUAUCCAUGCGUCAUAUGAACUCAUGAUUUCAUAAAGAAUCUAUCAGAGAGAGAGAGAGAGAGAGUUCGUAUAUGUUUUUUUCUCUCGUGUACGUGGUGUCAAACAUACAGUUGCACAUUACCUACCAAUCUGGUCCAUUUUGGUUGUGCUGGAAAUAGACAGGAGCUGACGGAAUUGCAUGUUGGAGUCAAUGCUUGGGUACCACACAUGUGUAAGGGAUGCUAUUUUCUUUAAUGCUAGUCAAUGUUUACAUCAAAAUCACGGUACGAAAGUAUAUGUGAAGAUGACGAAUAUCAUGAUCAGCUAUAGGAAAGAAGUAUAAGUGACGACGAUGAAUAUCGAUCAUGAUCAGUUAUAGGAAAUGAGUACAUAGGCCAAAGUUUGGGUGUGGACUUAAACGCUCACACGUUCGCACAUGCGCAUGGACGACACUCAUCUUUAUAAAUACUCGCACACAACCUAACCAUUACGAGCAUAUUUGAGAAUCUGGGCGUCAAAGAUUUUGAGAUCGAUGAAGUUGUCACAUACACCUCUCAUUGUGGGUAAAUUUAAGAAAACCUGAGCUCAUGUGCCAAGUUGAAAACUCGAAUUAAGUGAAUAGGUUCUAUCAUAAAUAACCUAACUAAAUAAGGGCUAGUUUCAACAAGGUGUUGCUAUUGCUACCAUGGCCGACUGAUUGGAGUAUGAAGCCAACUUUAGCCAAUUGACGGAGGAGACUAUCAGGUGUGUAGUGUGCUACCACACACUGAUGGAAAAAUGGACAUUAGUUUCGGUUGGAUAGGCUCAUAUAUCUCAAAAAUUCAACCGAGACUAAUCUUUUGAGAUCAAAAGUUCCUCUUUUGUCCCGGAUCAUUCACCCAGGACUAAAGAUCUCCUUUAGUCCUGGUUGUUUUACCAACCAGGACUAAAAGGUUCAAAAAAAAAGUAGGUUGCCCCCGUCCUGCCUGCUCGCCCUGCCGCCCCCUGCAGCUCCGCUACGACCACCGUACCACCUCCUUGAGCUCCAACUCCACCACAGAUACAAUCAAAUCAAGAGCAAUAAACAUGCUCAUCUCACAAUGACCAUCACACAAGUAAGAAUACAGAACCAAUCAAUUCGCAUAAGAUCUUAUUUACAACACAUGAGUUCGAUUUGAUUCACAACACACGGUGGAUUCACCAGCAAAAAAUACAAACGAAUCAUUCACAAACAAGUAAUUAUUCACCUCUCGCCAAUCUCACCCCCUGUGGCUCGCCUGGCUGCUCCGCACCGCACCGAGCCGCGCCACGGUGGCGGCCUCGCCGGGCUGCCUAUGCCGUGCCGGCCGCCCGCGUUGCGCGGGGCCGCUGCGCCUCACCAGCCGCCCGCGCUGUACCGGGCCGCCGCGCCUUGCUAGGCCACACGCGGUGGCGGCUCACCCGCCCGCGCCGCGCCUCACCGGGCCGCGGCAAGGAGGGAGGGAGGGAGCAGAGGGAGGAGGAGGCCGGGGAGGAGCUAAAGGGAGGAGGGAGGGAGGGAGCAGAGGGAGGAGGAGGCUGGGGAGGAGCUAGAGGGAGGAGGGAGGGAGGGAGCAGAGGGAGGAGGAGAGAGAGGAGCAGAUCGAGAUAAGGAUAACGGAGAGAGAUAGAGCUGGAGAGAUUUAAAGGCCGUCGGUGGAUUUAGUCCCGGUUGAUAGCUCCAACCGGACUAAAAGGGGUCCUUUUUGUUCCUUGUCCCGGUUGGUGACUCCAACCGGGAUUCAAAGUUCUACUUUUAUCUCGAUUGGAACCACGAACUGUGACUAAAAGGGCUCUGAGAAAUUACGAAAUUUAGACCUGAGACUAAUGACUCUUUAGUUCCGGAUCCGAUUCGUUCCGAGAUUUUUAUUCCUCUACCACAUUCCUCUCCUGUGCAGUUGGAACAUGCAGCAUGCGCGUCCAACAGUAGUCACGCACACGUAUCCACGAGACCAGGACUGAUUGAGUUUUCUAGAGGUCAAUUAUGGAAACUGACAAACAUAAUUUACCGUAUUGCACCUGAAAGCAAAAGCAGUGAAUUACCAUUUACCAACGUGCUAUAUACGUCUAACUCUUGACUUGACGCGUGCAGUCCCACCGAGAUCAUUGCUGGAAGUAUAUAGGACAUGCACAUGCAUGGUCAAAAACGUUCAGCAUCAAAAGAGACCUCUCGAGUUGAGGGCUACCAUAAUUUUUCCUGGUUAAAUUCCACAAAGCGACACAACAACUGCAUACCAUUUCAAAACACUUUUCUUUUUUAAGUAGGAAUUUUUCUUGAGUAUCGCCAUCAGAUCGAUAAGCAUGCACACGCUUAUCGUUAUGCUUAACAGUUUAAUCGCCUGAAGUGUAUAUAAUAUAUUGGCGAGUGGUUAGAGAUACCUGAGUAGCUUAAACAUGUGUUUUUUAUAGAAAACCAUUUUAAAAAUAAUGAUGUUUUUAUGAACCUUGCUCGUGUUUCAUUUUGCUUUUCUGGGCCUUUAUAAUUUCGCCUACUCAAAGAUUUUUCUUGUAAGAUGUGUUUUAAGAUAAAUGAAUUCAAAUAUUUUUCACGUGUUUUCUUUUUAGUGUACUCCCUCCGUCCUAUAAAAAGUGCAAUUCUAAUUUUUCUAGGAUUGUGGUGUGAAAAGAUUCUCAUGCUCUUAUUUUUUUCCCACAUGUAGUAAGUUUUAACAUACAAAUCAGAUCCGACCACUUAAUUAGGUAGGUAGUUAGAUCUAGUUUUUAGGAUUGCACUUGUUUAGAAUUUUUUUUAAACAUUAGAAUUGCACUUUUCAUGGACGGAGGAGGAAGUAGCACUGAGCUCCAGUGGACUACCCUAAACGACAAAACCCAUAUCUAGAAACUAAAAUUUGGUGACCAACGCAAGAGUUGGGUGGGUCAAUAUCCCUCGGCAGUCGCUGUGGCAGCACCCAACUCCCUUCCCCAGCGCCGCCACCGCCCCGAGCUCCCUUCUCUCGUCGGCGUCACAUGUACCACGAGCUACCUCUCUCGACAGUACUAUCACCGCCUCAUAGCUCCCUUCCUCGAUGUCGGCACCCGCUAGCUCAAAACCCAGCUUUGCUUCUUUGGAGAGCAACUUCCUAGGGAAGCAAAUGGAUCGGAGCUUCUCCACGAAGCGCUUUUGGAAAAAGCUUGAGCUCCCCCAAACAGAGCUAUAGGCACAUACAACUAGAAGUCAGAAUUAUAAAACUUUUACCAGAAAAAUACAUCGAGUUAAGCAUUUAGUUUGCCCCAUAUAUAUGAACGAUGUUCAAUAAUAGUUGCUAAUAAAUGAUAAAGAAUAAAAUAAUCAUCAAAGUCAUGCACUAUAUAUGGACAACUAGCGUUCUUUAGGAGUUUGUUUGUCGCCAAUUUCUAUUUUAUAGCACAUCUAUAUUUUGUCCCCCUUUAUACAUUUUCUUCUUCUUCUUUUCAAUGAGAUAAUAAUAUGUAAUAUGUAGUUCUCCUACGUACGUGCUCGGGAUUUUUUUUUGAUCAAGUCAUGCGCAAAAUAUCAUGUCAUGUCGUAAGCGAUAGGAGAACUGGAUGCAUGACUACGUACCAAUGGGCAAGUAACACGUGUGACCUUUGUUUCGACAAUAAGACAAUAACUCCACAAGUUGCGUUGAGCCUAGGAUAGCUAGGAAGUGACUGAAUUGUGCAAAGUUUAGUUGUUGGCAGUCCAUGUAUGAUUGUAAGCGCCAUGGAUCCAUCCAUCUCCAAGGCAUCAAUGAAUGAAAAUCUUAGUCUGUGCCAGCAGGCUGACAGCUACAUGUUUUGGUAGCUAUGCGUAUAUUGUGGUCGAUGCUCAACUCUGUUUAUGGAAAACACUUUGCAAUGUCAAAGAAAGUAGAGGGGAUGCAAACCUUGAUUGAACCAGUGGACGAUGGGGUGAAGCAAUCUCACGUGCCUUGCCAUAACUCAAAAAGUUGAUAGCGUUAGUACUCGUUUGUGAUGUGACAUGCAAAUUGCAUGAUGUUUUACAGUUAGAAAAAAAACAAUAGCUAGAAACAUCUCAUUAUUUAACCGAGAGAUAUGAAAAAUAAAGGUCUAUAUAUUAAAGUAAUUUAAUUUAGUGGCACAAGAGUAGAAUGGUGCAGAUUAAUAAUUAGAUGUGAUAUGCAAAACUGUAUAACAAAUUGAACAUAUCAUUUAUAAAGAAUAUAAAUAGACUAUGUAUAAUAAGAAAUUCAAAUGCAUGUGCAUGUGCUAUUCAGAGGCCCUUCACGUAUUGCCACGUCAGUCAUGGAUCAUUUGUUUCUGUUUGUUGCAACCCAGCUGUGGUUCAUGGGCAUGCACACAGUGGUGGUUACUAGUUUCUCCACAUCUAGCCUUGUGCCAUCAUGCUUAUCAUCAUAUCCAAAAGUUGAGUGUUAAUUGUUAUCCCAUCCCUACAAGCCUUAACCACGAUUUGACACGUGUCUACACACGUACAUAAUUAGCAUCUCUAAAACCUAGCUUUCGUCCCAUCGUGGCGGUGUCCAAUCAACCUCCUCCCCUUCUAUGGAAACAUGGAAAUAGGGAGGCUAGCUCAUCAAGCAUCGAUGCGUCUCUGUUUUUGACAUAGCCGGCUAACCGAUCGGAGGAGUUGCUUUUGCACCUAUGAGAGAGAGAGAGAGAGAGAGAGAAAGGUGGUAUUGUUCGCAUGGUGUUGACGUGAGCUGGAAUUAGCAUACAUCAACAAGAUGAUGUGAGAUGAAAGAUGAAGUGGGGUAUGCUCUUUGGUGCCCUCUCUAUACUUUUUUUGGUAAAUCAUGGCCGCAUGGGUUGAUAGAAAAAUGGUCACUUUUAGUUGUUGUGCGUGCAAAGGUUGUUGUGUCAUGGAUAUUUUUCCGAAAAUGUUUGAGCUGAGAGAGAUCACAUGCAUACGGGACUAAUCCUUUUUCUCAAUAUCGAAGCAAUUUAUUCAUUUAUUAGUACAAAAUAACUCAUAGACCUUAAAUCAUAAAUAUGGAAAUUUGGCAACGCAUAUUACCCGAGAUGGGUUCAAAAGGGUUCUUAAGCUGUUUGUGUUUGCAUGAACUUCCAUUCGAAUCUUGGAAACCUUUUGUGGGCGGCAGUCCAUAAAGCCUUUUGGCUGAAAAUUAAAAUGGAAAUUAAGAUUAACAUGUGUAACUCUCCCAUUCAAUAUUAAUUGAAAAGGAAGAUACUUGUCUUCAAUCAACCAAAAUCGAUGGCGGUACAGGACAUGAUGAUUUCUAGUACUACCUACGUUCUUAAAUAUAUAACAUCAUUGACUUUUUUCAUUUAUUUAACUACUCGUUUUUCUAUAAAUAUUUGUGGAGAUAUAGACAAAUCUACAAAGAAAAUCUAAAGUACUUUUGAUGAUAAUAGAUGCAGUUGUACUCAUUUUACUUUGUGUAACUAAUUCACUAAAUAGAUAUUAUUGGUUAAAGUUUGAACAAAAUGUCAACAACGUCAUAUAUUUAAGAACAGAGGAAGUAAAUCCUGUUCCCCGCCACUCUAAGCCCGAAUUCGCCCAACAACCCAAUAGAUGAGAUCUUCCCAAAUCCUAUGAAACUUAUAAGAAACCGUUUAUCCAAACUGAGAUCUUCCCAAAACUAUCCAAGCUGUACUUGUAACCGUUUCUUGAUGAAAUAAAAAGUCCAAGUGGGCUCUAAUUUGCCCGUGUCUAUUCACUAAACUGAUGAGAGACGUGGGUCCAGGAACUGAAUGAAGCCGAUAAAAAUUUGAAGUGAGCUUAAAGGCAACCAUCUCCUUUCCUUUUCUUUUUUCUCACACCUUUUGACAGAGGCUAAAUUCCCUCACAUGCUUCUCUCUCUCGGCUAUAAAAGGACUUCGCCAGUUGCCAUCCCUCUCCCGCUAAUCCAUUCUCUCUCUCUCUCUCUCUCUCUCUCUCUCUCUCUCUCUCUCCCUCCCUCUCUCUCUCUCCCCCCCAACACUUCUCCAUUAAAGCUAGCUAGAUACCAACUCUCUCACUCUAUCUAUCUCCCUCUCCUAUCUCUCUCCUCACAACGAACUAAUCCAUCAGUCAACAAGCAACAUGGCGGCAUCCCAAAGGAGCAGGAGCAGCGCGUGCUCCCCGGGCGCUCCCGUCGAGCUCGACGACGACCACGGAGGGGCGCCCGAGCAGGCGGAUCAGCUCCGCCGCGGCCCGUGGACCGUCGACGAGGACCUCACCCUUGUCAACUACAUCGCCGACCACGGCGAGGGCCGCUGGAACUCCCUCGCCCGCGCCGCCGGUAAGCUGCUAUAAUAAGCACGCCCGCCGCCGCCGGCCACCUCUCGAUCGAUCUCUUCCAUACAUGGCUGGUCCACAGUUGAUUGAGCUUACAUGCAGGGUUGAAGCGGACGGGCAAGAGCUGCCGGCUGCGGUGGCUGAACUACCUCCGGCCCGACGUGAAGCGCGGCAACUUCACCGCCGACGAGCAGCUGCUCAUCCUCGACCUCCACACCCGCUGGGGCAACCGGUAAUUACUAACCACCAACACUAACAAUCACUCCAUCACUCCUAGUUCCUAGCACCUCCUUGUCAGUAGCAUGUAUGAUGACGUCACGCCGUUCCGGGCGGCGGCCAUCGACCACGCCGGCGACGGCAGGCGAUAUCGCCAUCACCGCGCAUGCGGCGGCGACGCCCUGCACGUGCCUACUAGACGCGCGCCCUAUCAGCCUGCGGUGACAUGAACGCGCCGGAGUUUUUAGACUCGUGUGGACGCCAGCUAGCUGUAGCGCCUACUGACCUCUCAACGGCGGCGGACUUGUCCACGUACACGCACUUGUCACCGACCGUAUUUGUACGCACGUGCACGUACGGCUACCCGUAGACGACGUGGACUCGUGUGUGUGUGUGUGUGUAUGCACAUUAAUAUAAUAUAUAUACGUGAGGUACAGUGUAGUUGACGGCAUGACACGACGCACAAGGCACAAUUUGGAUCGUGCAAGUCUUCUAGAUCUAGUGGACGCAGAGUCUAUCACUUUCACUCCAGCACUGUGCAUGAAAGCUGCACGAGUCUCAAAGCUGCACGCCUCUACUUUCUCUCCCUAGAAAGUUCUUGCACAGCAGCUCCAUCCUGAGCGUCUCAUCUAAUUGCAUUUUCGUCCUCGUGUAAUCUUCAUCAGGUGGUCGAAGAUCGCGCAGCACCUGCCGGGGAGGACGGACAACGAGAUCAAGAACUACUGGAGGACCCGGGUGCAGAAGCACGCCAAGCAGCUCAACUGCGACGCCAACAGCAAGCGCUUCAAGGACGCCAUGCGCUACCUCUGGAUGCCGCACCACGUCGACGCCGACGACGACCACCGACGCCGCCUCCUCCAGGCGCAGCACCAGCAGCACGCCGCCGACGUCGCCGCCGCCGCCGCCGCUGCCGGCGGGAUGGUGACCUCGUCGUCGGACUCGUUCGCGACGGCGGAGUCGUACGACGACGUGGGGGCGCUCUACGACGCGAGCGUGCACGCCGGGGAGAUUCUGGUCAGCGGCGGCGGAGACUGGGCGCAGGAGACGGCGGCGAACCAAGGGCUGUGGCCGGCGGCGCCCGAUCAGUCGGCGGCGGUGCAGGCUGCCGUUGGCGGUGGUUGCCAGUUUCAGGACCCGGAGCUGAGUGGAUGGGUGCAAGGCUUCUCCGAGGGCAUUACUGAGAAUUUUUGGGCCUUGGAGGACAUCUGGAAGAUCCAAUGAGCAACUUUAUGUUUUUUUUAAAGAAGGGCUGAAAUUCAAUAUAUAUACGUUAGUGGUGUUGAUAUAGAUAAUGAUAUAACUUCAAAACGAGAAGUCACACAUAUAUAUAGUUAGUAUAUUCUAACUCCAAAAGAUACUGUAAGAGAAAGUUUCUAUACACCCCCCCGAUAUAUUUUUUUGGGGUGGUUUUUUUUUCCUCUUAAGGUUCAUUCUUAUAGAGGUUGAAAUUAAAGGAGGGCAUUGUUUAUGUUGAAUAUUAUGCAAUGUACAAGUAUAUAGAUUAUUGCCUUAUUGGUAUUGAACACAAUCUACUUUUUUUUUCUUAAGAUCCAAUGUUAAUCGUUUUUAUAAAACACAAUGGAAACAUGUGUACCGUAAAUUGCACACAUUCGGAGAGAUAAGCUCAAUAUAGUACCCUCAAGAGAAAAAAAGGAAGAAAGUAUCUGCAUCAUACCACUAGCAGCUAGAGAGGAGAACUAACUCCACUCACAUCUGCCCUGCUCACAACGUGAAAGACGAAGAAAGCAAAGAGAAGCUAGCUACGAAGAGAAAGAUAAGGCACAGUAGAGGAGGACUCACUUUUGUCCUUGCACCAACAAAGACUCCGUCACAAGUCACCGGCAUUGCAUCUAUGCGCCAUGCAUGACUUGCACCUAUCUCCAACUCCAAGUCCAUCGAGAGAGAUUCUCCCAAAGAUCAUCUGCACAGCACUAAAAAUUCCCCCAAAAUUAAACCACGUGCGAGAAUCCCCAGCCGUUGCUUAAAGCUUUAAUUUUUCUAGUUUCGCAGAGGGCAUUGAGCAUGUGCCGCCGCUGCAAGAGCUAGCUGAUGAUGGAAUUGCUUCUGAAUCUGCUGGUGUCCACUAGCUAAUGACACUCAACGAGCAGAUUUGGAAGGCAUAAAGCUUGCUUUCAUGGUUCCUUGAAAAGCUUGGGCACCAAAAGAACCCUAAAUGUGGAGCUUGCAUAUGCACUUGCUUGGCUGGCCUCGGUCGACAAGCAAUUGGGUAGAGGUAGAGUGUUAGGCAUUUGGCCUGGAUGUCAUGCACCUGUCCGGCCCCUCCCUUUGGCAUCUCCUCUUUUCUUUUGUUUUUCGAACAUGCAAAAGCUUUGCACGUUUUUGCAAUCUCCUACAUACGUGUGAUAACAAAGGAGAGAGAUCACGGCACACUAGCUCGUCGAGUUGAAACUAAAAAGGAAAGAUGGAGACUGACGCGAUGAAGGAUCAUGCUGCAUGGUUCUCUAUAUCACUUGAAAUGUUACAUGUUUAAAAACCAUUGAUUAAAUUGCUAUAUUUUUUAAGGAAUAAAGAUCUCUGUAUUCCUAAUAAAUUUACCUCUCUACUGAUCCGGAAGGAAAAGUAUAAAAAAGUGAAACCCUUGCAAGAUCUUGAAAGUCGUGCUAAGAUCUUUGAGAGAAUGCAAAAGAUGGAACGGAGACGAAAGAAAAACGACCUCUACCAAAACGGCCACAAAAAGGAGCUAGAGCUUCUGAAUAGCGAGGGCCAGAACCCAGAAAAAAGAAGAAGCAUAGGGACGUGGCGGUGAAACGGUAAAACAGCACGUGCUCCAACUUAGCUGUUCCAGUUAGCACGGCUCACAAAGAGCUCAGCUCACAAAGUCACCGCGGCGGCGUCGGGGGGAAUCCCCGGGGAUGUUUUCUAUUUACGUUCUUGUCUCUUAGAAAGAGCCAGGCGGCAGCGGGGUGCCGGCUGCGGAGAGGCCACGUCAUCCGAGACCCGCACAUCACGGGGACCCCACCCGCGCGCCAUGCGCUGCCAGAGGUCAAAGGUCGAGGGGGCUGCAUGUAGUUAAGUUAAACCUGAAAGUGACUGAGACCCGUAGGGCUUUACAAGAGUUUCAUGAUAUUAAAUUUAAUGAUAUAUCAGCAAAAUUGCUGAUUUGGUAAGGUAAUUAAGGAUUCCUUUGGGAACCCAAAUUUCCCGGAUAGGCUCCCCACGUGGGUUUCGACUUCAGACAAAUCUUCUCGUCGUUUAGCAGCCCACGACCACAGGUCUAUCGCUCCCAAUCCGUUGUUUUUCCUUGGGCCAGCGCUCCCCACCUCUUGGGUCCAGAUGCCGCAACCCCGUCCACUCCACCACGCCACGACUCGUGUGCGAGGGAAGCGACGCGACGGAGCCAGCAGGCAGCGCCGCCUUCCCGUCUGCUCCACCAUGCCGCCUAUCCGACCAAGCGCUGUCGCUUCUCCGGGUCCUCGUCCUCGUCCCCGUCUAGGCGCUGCUGCCCCUCGUCGCCUCCCCGUGGCCUCCCCGUCCUCUCCGUCGCCUCCCUGUCGCCGGCUCGUUACCACUACUCCGUGACUACACCGCCUUGCCUCGUCCCAAGAUCCGGUGAGCUCUUCCUCCCUCCUAUUUGUCUUCCCCAGAUCGAGCUCCUGCUACUUGGAUCUCCUCCCCCCUUCGAUAGUUCGAUCCAGUAGGAUUGUAGUCUAUUUUCUAGAUCUUCUCGCCGCAGGAACUUGUCGAAACCCGUGGGAUUCGAUGGAUUUAUGAAUUUUUUUGUAAUAUUUCAAUCAUCUCUGAAAAUUUCAGUCAGCAAUGUUACUAGGUCAGUAUAUAAUGUGCUGCAGUAUGUUAUUUCUCAAGCUUUUCUAGUAUACUGUAGUUUGUUCUUUCUCAGAUUUAUAUCAGUUCUUAGUUCUUUUGAACAAUAUACUAUGUGUACCUUAAAAUUGGAGUUUGCUGCAUCUGCGUAUCUAAAAACAUAAAGAGAAAUGUGAAUGUGUGAUUGAGUAGCAUGCCAUGAGGAAAGCAGAGAAUCUGUGAGCCCUGUGUGUGCUUGGCGUAGUGUAAACAAAUUUAGUUGCUUGUAGUUAACUACAAGUGUUCUUAUAUGGUUUUGCAGUCAGAAACAAUAUACUUCUGUUGUUUCUGCUGGCCACUGCUAUUUUACUUCGUGAAAAGUUUGUUUGAAGAAUGAAUUGUAAUAUCUCGUAUGCUGUUAUAUGCCGUUACAAAGUCGGUGCUUUGAGUUUGCUUUAGUAAUAUCUAGCUCAUCAGGAACUAUUAUGCAUGCAUGUGUUGGAACUGAAGUUGAAGUGACUAUAGUCAAACUGAUCAUGAGUUUCUUCAUGGUCUUCUAAAUCCUGAAUCUAAUAUUCUGCGUGUAGUUUGGCAGUUUGUAUACACUCUUCUGUUCAUUCAUGGUCCGUGGGUAAGCCACUAAGCCAGUCAUAGCCUUGUCUAUGAAAUGGUUGCAAGAAUAUCUUUCCCAUACCAAAUUUGUCCUCCUUUGCUUGUUUAUUAUUUCUUGCCUAGCAUAUUUGAUACUGAUUACAUUUUUUCAUUGCUCCUUUGUUAACCCAUGGGCUACUAUGUCAUCAGUAUAUAAAACAUGAUUGGUCACUAUGAUUCCAGUUUAUAUCAUAUAUUCUUGCAAGUAUUUCAGUUUUCAUAACCUGUGAGUUUUUUCUUUCUUUUUAGACCAUAUGCAUUUGAGUGACAUAGUUUACUUGCCUUACCAUAUACAUAAAUAUAGAUAAUGGAAUCUUGGAAGGAUGAAGUUAGGAGAUUCAUGCUAGAGGAGGAAGAAGAGGAUGGCGAGCUGUUCCUAGUUAUGGUCCCCGCGCUUCAGCAGUGUCUAUAUGGGGAGAAAAGGCUAGAGCACACCUCAACUCUGCCUGGUGCUAAAAAGGUCAAACAAAUCUUGGAAGGCCACGAGAAUUGGUGCAAAGUGGAGUUCAGGAUCGAUCCUGAGAUAUUUAGAAUUAUAGCAAAUUAUCUUAGAGUGGAGAACUUGUUACGUGACACCCGUGGUGUUAGAGUUGAGGAGCAGCUGGGAAUAUUUAUGUUCAUACUCUCUCAUAAUGCAAGCACCGAUAGGCUAAAAAACUAAUUCCAACACAGUGGUGAGAUAAUUCAUAGGAAAAUAACAGAGUUCUUCGAUAUAAUUCAAGUAUUGACUCAUAGAUUCUUGAAGCUUCCAAAUAUGAACCAUACACAUAUGAAGAUUGCAUCAGACCCUCGCGUUAUGCCUUUCUUCCAGAACUGCAUUGGAGCUAUUGAUGGCACUCAUGUCCCUAUCACCAUUGCACAAGAAAGAGUCGCUUCCUAUAGAAAUAGGAAAGGAACCUUGUCACAGAACAUGAUGUGUGCAUGUGACUUUGAUUUAAAUUUUACUUUCAUCUCAUGUGGUUGGGAAGGAUAUGCAUCUGAUGCAGGGGUCGUACGGUCUGCACGUGCGAACGGUUUUCACGUGUUUGUGGGGAAGUUCUACCUUGUAGAUGGUGGAUACGCAAAUACAUCCUCAUUCAUUACUCCACACCGAGGAGUUAGGUAUCAUCUUAGUGAGUCUAGGAGAUAUGAAAAUCAAUAUGUAAAUUACAAAGAAUUGUUCAACCAUCGGCAUGCGUAGCUACGCAAUCAUAUUGAAAGGGUCUUUGGUGUGCUAAAAAAGCGGUUUCCAAUCCUGAAAGUUGGAACAUUUCAUCCAAUUGAGAAUCAAAUUAAUAUUCCAGCGGCAGCUACAGUAUUUCACAAUCUCAUUAGAAGGCUAAAUAGGGAUGAAGGGUGGCUGGAUCACCAAUAAAAUAAUAUCAACCUAUCUAAUUAUGUUGAGUUGCUAGAGGGGGAUAACAACUACCCAAAUGAACUGCAAUCAAAUGAAGGAAGCACUCUAUGAGACCAAAUUGCCCUUCAGAUGUGGGUUGCCCGUAAUAAUUAGGUGAAGCAUAAAUGUAAGCACUAGUAUGCAUGGAUUAUCUGUUCCUGUAUUGUUUUUUUCUUCAUUGCUUAUUUUUGUAUUGUUUUCAUGACAGACUUUAUCUAAUCUUGUUUAUUUCUUGCAGCCAUGUCAACGGAAAGGGCUACAUGGAGCUACACGUAUGAGAAGGGACUUGUGGAUAUUCUGAAAGAGCUUGUCAACAUCCCAAUAUUUAAGGGACAGAAUGGGUGCACAGCAGAAGGUUGGAGGAAUAUCACAAACAAAUUCAAUAAUAUGUUUCCAAUAGCACAUUUCACGAAGUAGUAAGUGCAAGAAAAGGAGAAAGAGCUAAAAGGAAACUAUAAGAUAAUAAAAGAAGCGAGGAAAAGUGGUGUUGGCUGGAAUGACACUUUGGGUAUGAUCAUUGCAUAACCAAAAGUUUGGGAGAAGUUGAGUAAGGUUAGAUCUCUUAAACAGAGUAGAAUCUUGAGAGGCACAUUCUGGUUCUAAACUUCUAAUCAUAUGUUUUUGUUGUACUUCAAUAGGAUAACCACAAAGUUGCUAAGUUCCGCAAGAAGUCAUUUCCUUUGUAUAACAGCUUGGAAUUAUUGUAUGAAGGUAAUGCUUUUAUCUUGCUCAUUGCCUCUGGAUGAUGCAUGCUCAUUGCCUUUGUUCUUGUUUUAGUCUUCUUAGACAAUUUCCAAUGCGUUGGUGGAGUUUAGCAUUUGUGUACAUGAAUACAUCUCAUGACGUGCUAUGGUGUGGAUGGUGCUUUAGAGAGUCACUUUAUUUUAUUCUUACUUAUUCAUCUAGCAUUGCUGUGUCACUUUAUAUUACAUGAAUACAUCUCAUGACAUGCUAUGGUGUGGAUGGUGCUUUAGAGAGUCACUUCAUUUUAUUCUUACUUAUUCAUCUAGCAUUGCUGUGUCACUUUAUAUGCAUCUGUACUUCUAUGUGUAAUACUGAACUAUCAGAAGUGACAUUGUAUUCUUUUGAGGUGUUAAUAACUUAAUAUUGGAAAUUGCCUGCUGAUGCUAACCUGGUGAAGUUCCUCGCUGUUGUUCUUGUGUUGUCCUAACACUAGGCAUGUACACAUUUACUUAAGCUUCUACCUAUAGAUUAAUUGACUUUAACUUUUAUGUUUCACAAGUCAGUCAGUCUCCUGUCUAUUUAAGCUAUCAACUUAUUGCUCUUUUCUAGGAGCCUUUUAUGAUUUAUUGAAUUUAAAUACUUAUGCUCUUUGGUAAUUUUUGGAACUUGUCAGUAACUACUUGUAUCAAAGUGAGGUUACCUAUUCUGUUUGGAGUUUCUUUAAUUCUGAGUUGAAUAGAGUUUGCUCAUUGGUCUAGGCUAAGAGUGUCUGCAACAACUAAGAUUUGCAUCAAAGCAAAUUGAAGAAAAAAAGCCAACUGAAAUAAGCACGUAUUUGUUGUUCAGUAGAUGGUGAGUCAAUGAUGCAGCAUUGCACAAUUCUGAUAAUACUGUGUGUUUGGUUUGACGUACACCUGUUAGGUAGUGGAUAGUUUGAACUCUGGGUAUUGUAGAUGCUAAGAUGUUGAUAUUGUUACCUUGAUUUUUUGUUUAAUAGGAAGUGUGGCCACAAGGGAUUUAAAUUUUACAUCAAUUGAACCUCCACCACAAAGAACUGAGUUGCGAGCUGAACCCACUCCCUUAAGAAGUGAGCUGUGAGCUGAACGCACUCCCCAAAGAAGUGAGCUGCAAACUAAACCCACUCCCCAAAGAAGUAUCUCAGAGCAAAGCAAUCAUAGCAUGGCUUCUAUUGAUAGAAAUCCACUCAGUUUUAGUCUUAGCGGUGUAGAAAGCACAGAAGUUCAGUUUGCUCCAGUUAGUCGUAAUUCAGAGGAUCAAGAUGUUACCGGUGGAAAGAAACACAAACAAAGUCAGAUGGUAGCAAAACUUGGGGAUUACAUUGACUUUAGAAAGGAUCAGAUUGAAAAAACUCUAAAAAAGUUAGAAGAGAAGAAGAGACGUGAAAGACUACUCAAUCGAGAAAUGUAUUGACAUUGUGGAUGCCAUGGAAGGGCUAUGGAUGAAAAAAAAACUGAUGCAAAUGAAGUUUCUAAAGUGAAAUGAAUAGAAAAAUAUUGGUGGGCACCAAAAAUCAAGUGUCCGACUGAUUUGGUUGAAGGAAAAGAUUGCUCGGGUAUGUCAGUUAUGUACCCUUGCUCAAGUGUCGGUUGAAUCCUCUAUUUGCAUAUAUAAAAUAUAAAAUUUUGUCCCCUGCCUAUGUCACUGAUUUUACAUUUUUUUGUGCUGCAGCUUUCUAACUCCUGUGUUUAUUUGCCAAAAUUUGUGAGUGUUGAAGAGAACCAAGAGGCACAAAGAGAAUGGUUGGGGGAAGGUUCUUGGCUUCGUUUAUAAAAAAACUUGUAUUGCAUCAAUGGUGAAGUUAAAGAGCGAAGUUUAGUGAUAGAUUAUAUGCUUAAAACACGCCAAGAAACAUGUAACUUUUUCUCUCUUGUAUCAGCUAGAUAUAAUACGAUGUACCUUGCUAUGGCCUGAUAACCUGUGUUAUGUGUCGCUUUGAGAACGUCCGACUGAUAUAUGUGAAACUUGUGGAGCGUGUUUCUUGUGUGCUAGACUGUUUGGCUUGUUGGUUGUAGCUGUCUUGCCGGUUGCCGGUUGAUGUUCGUCUGUUCUAUCUUGGAGCUGGUCCGUGCUAGUGGCGGCACCGGGUUUGCUGGUGCCUGACAACUUCCAAACAGUAACGGGGGAGAGGGGGCCAGAAAAAUCCUCUCGUGGAAGGGAUUUGAAAAUAAAAAAAUUUCCGUAGGGGCAUUUCUUCCCUAGCCUAAUCAGCCCUGUGCUUCCAAAGGAGCCCUGAGAGGGGGAGUUUUAUCAGAUGAGAGAGCAGUUUCAUCCCCAUAACACUCAGCUAGCAUAGUUACCUAGUUUUCAACCUUGGUAACUGUGCAAUGAAACUGUGCACUAAGACUGGCCUGAUUAACCGCGUGAUUAGGGCUGAAUUGACGGGCGACCGAGGCGGGGAUUUGGUAAGCUAGCAGCUGCUUGGAGCGGUCAGCCCCGUCAACCUCCAGUCGCGCUGCUUUUUCCGCCGUGGUCGGCGCAGCGGUCGCCGUCGCCGUGUGUACGGCCCGGAGAACACAGUGCGCGUGUGCUCGAGUUGCUGGGUAGUAGGCGGAUCAUAGAGUUCAACAAGCUAGCUACUCUAUCCGUCGCAAAUUACUAUUUGUUUUGACUUUUCUAGGUAUAUAACUUUUGCUAUGCAAAUAUUUAGAUACGUAGCAAAUGCUAUGCACCUAGAAAAAUCAAAAUGAAUAGUAAUUUGAGAUGCAGGGAGUAGCUAGCUAGUCUAGCACACAGGCUUUAUGUAAAAGCUUGGCCUCGUUCGGCAGCUGAUGUUUGCCGUAUUUAAUAGUUAACUACUGCUAGCUGGUAGUCCUUCCCUAUCAAAAUAUUUGUCGUUAUUAUUUUUUUACAAUUCAAAAAAUUAUUGUAAAUAUACGAAAAGAUAAAUUAUGCUCAAAAUAACUGUAAUGGUAAAGUAAGCCACAAGUAAAAUAAAUAAUACUCGUAUAACUUUUUUAAAUAAAAUGAGUGGCCAAACGUUGUGAAAAAUAAAUAGCGAUAAAUAUUUUGAUACAAAGGUAGUAUAUCGGUGUUCGACGAAGCCGAUGGCACUCGAGGUGUUGGGUAGCACAUAGUCUACGAGCCGUAACCUUUUUAGUUUAGCCGAUUCGUCUCGACUCGCGUGCGGCCGGCCGGAUUGAACCAACUGUACUGUCGCCAAAGAAGAUGCUGCCGCUGCUCAAAGCUAAAGGCUCUUGGUUUUUAUUUGUUUUGUUCCGAGCUAGGAACUAAACAUUUUCUUUUUACGCACUUGUUUGUUUAUGCAGACGGUUACGUUCCCGGUCCACAGAGCUGACUGCUGCGCGGCCGCAGCACAACGCCGCUCCUGCUCCACCACCAGACCACCUUCACUUCCUUCAGUGUCACAGACUCAGAAUCAUCUACAUCGUGUGGAAUAUAUGAUCAGGAUUUGCGAGUUUUUCAAAGGAAGCCCUUGUCAGUACUCGCCGAAGAAGACAGAUCAACGACGGGGUGGCAGAGCUCAUUGUCUUGAUAGCUGCAACUUCAAUUUUUUUUCCUUUUUGAGAAGAACUGAAAACAGAUGAUAGCUGCAACUGAAAACUGUCUGUACUUACGGCAAAAAAGAAAGUUGGGGAGGGGGUUGAAGCCUUGAAGGAGUGAUCCUUGUAAAUAAUAUGGAAGUCAGUAGAGGCAGCACACCAUUUUGGUUCUACACUUUUAGUGGGCCAGGCCCAUAACCAAUCCACUGUGGGCCAGCCUGGUUUUCAUGCUCAUCUAUUUAAUUGUAGGGUUUCUCAAAAAAAAUUUAAUUGUAGGGAAAAUAUCGCCAAUUCAUUAUUUUGACACCCAUGAAACUGCAGCUGCAGCUUCUAGUUGACCACCCACAGUGCUACAGAGUGUUUGAAGUUAGUCCACAUGGACUACUCCCCAUUGCUAAAAAUAAGCUAGAGGUGAAGCCAUGCUCCAUCCUACUACAAGGAUCAAGGACGACCAGCCAACGAAAAACAAAAUGCUCCUCUUGCAUGCAUCCUCCCGUUAUUCUCACAACGCCUCACAAUUCCAUUCACUCAAUAAUUAAGCCGGAAAAAAGAACUAAAAAUACUUAGCUAUAGCUAGGAAAUUAGUCAAUAGAUCAGGUCGUCUUCUCCCUUUAUUUGUCUGUUCAUAGUCUCUCUUGUUGCAUGGCGAGCCAUGGGGCACGAUUGCUAUUCACCGCCUGCUGUUCAUCGGGCCACCAUGGCUGUUCUUGCGCCGCUGCUGCUAGCAUCGCUCGUCUCGGUGGCUACUUCGUCGCCGCCGCCGUCGAAGGACGUGCAGCAGGCCAGCUUCGCCGUCAACAACACCCCCGUGAAAAAGCCGAGUCACGGCGGCGGCCAGCAGGCCAGCUUCGUCAUCGGCGGCGAUGACGGGGCCAGCAGCAAGGUUCCGCCGGGUUCCGGCGCCGCCGGCAGCUUCGGCGAGUUCAUCGCCGAGAACGUGCAGAGCUACAACGUGAACAAGCAGAUCUACGCGGCGAAGGUGAAGAACGGCACCGGCGGAAAGGCGGUGGACGCGGAGUUGUCGGCGGCGGAGGCCGGGGCGGUCCGGUACGUGGUGAGCGCCGACGGCAAGGGAAAGUUCCGGACCAUCAACGACGCCAUCAAGGCCGUGCCGGAGAAUAACAAGAAGCGGGUCAUCCUCGAUAUCAGGCCGGGCACCUACAAGUAGUAAUUUGAUACGCUGUAGCUUGUUGUUGAUUAAUCCCUGUCGUCGUCAGCAAUGGCGACGAAAUUUUACGAUGCAAUUUGGGGCGGUCGACUUUGCAAUGCAGGGAGAAGGUGCUUGUCCCCUACACGAAGCACUUCAUCACGUUCCUGGGCGACCCGAAGCAACCGCCGGUGAUCAUGUGGGACGACACGGCGGCGACCCGCGGCAAGGACGGCUUGCCCGUCGGCACCGUGGGCAGCGCCACCGUGGCCGUGGAGUCCGACUACUUCCUCGCCUCCGGCAUCGUCUUCCGUAACCACGCGCCGAUGGCGGCGCCGGGUGCCAAGGGCGGUCAGGCGGUGGCGCUCCGCGUGUUCGGCACCAAGGCGGCCUUCUACAACUGCACGAUCGACGGCGGGCAGGACACCCUCUACGACCACAAGGGCCUCCACUACUUCAAGGGCUGCCUCAUCAAGGGCAGCGUCGACUUCAUCUUCGGCUUCGGCCGGUCCCUCUACGAGGACUGCUCCAUCGUCUCCGUCACCAAGCAGGUCGCCGUGCUGACGGCGCAGCAGCGGACGAGGAGCAUCGCCGACGCCAUCGAGAGCGGCUUCUCCUUCCUCCGGUGCCGCGUCUCCGGCGACGGGCAGAUCUACCUCGGCCGCGCGUGGGGGGACUCGUCCCGGGUGGUGUACGCGUACACCGACAUGGGGAAGGAGGUGGUGCCCGUGGGGUGGGACGGGUGGAACAUCCAGACGCCGGAGCGGAGCGGGAUCUACUACGGCGAGUACCGGUGCAGCGGGCCGGGGGCGCUCGCGCACAAGCGCAUCGGGUGGUCGCUCAUCCUCAACGACGACCAGGCCAAGCCAUUCACGGGGACGCACUUCGUCUACGGCGACUCGUGGAUCCUGCCGCCGCCAAAGCUGGCGGGCAAGUGAAGCGUCGAUGGGCCACCGGGCCAUCCAUCAUCCGGCCCACUGGGCUGAGACCCUUUUUUGACGGGUUUGGCUCGCUCGACACGACGCAUUGUCUUAAUAUGUUUUGGUAUAUAGCUAACCACAGUUUUGUAAGUUGUAACUCAACACAUUGUGCACUUAUAAACGACACUGUGUGCACUUAUUAACUGGUCCAUCCUAAUAACCUAACGGUAGAUACAAAGGAAAUAACUUAAAAUACCUAAAAAAAUAUCAAGAAUUACUAAAUUGGUGGACCAGGUACCAAAAUAGUCCUUAAAUUGUUUUUUCCGAAUCAGACAAAAAUCAUAGAUAAAAGAAUCAACAAUAUGGGUACUUUUUAAACCAAGCUUUUUUUUUUAGUCCGAAUGCCUUUUGAUUAUGUGUACCGGCUACAACACGAGUGAAGAUGUUUUUGAAUUUUUUAGUAAAAUACAUAAGAAGUCCAUUAAGUUGUAAGCAUAUGUCACUUAGAUUCAUGAAUUUCGAAAGUGCAUUUUUGGACUCAUAAACUUGCUAAGUCAUUCACUGCAAGUCCAUACCCCACCACAUGGGCAUUUAGCCUUGACAUGGCACGGUGACUGGGCAUCUUCUCUCUCAUCCCUCUCAUCUUCCUCUCUCUCCCUCCCUCUCGCUCUAGCAUUUCAUCGAACAUGUCACGGUGGUGGCGGUACGGAGCUCUUCAUCUGCUUCACCUCCCGCUUCUCCGUCGCCGGCGCUUCGUCCUCCCUCCAACACCAUCAUCUCCUCAGCUGGCACAAUAACGGCUCCCUUGCUAACCUCACCACGGCAGCACCGCACAACCAGUUGCCCCAGCCAAUGGCAGCACCACACAGCCAGUUGCCACAGCCGACGCACGCUGGCACCUCUUUUUUAUAGAUCUAAAAAUGCACUUUUCGAAGUUCGUUGAUCUAAGUAAGAUAUCCUUAUAAGUUGAUGGACCUUCUAUCUAGAAGAGUAAAUGUGAUGAUUGCUAUCUGGUAAUGAUGCUUUUGUUCUCUAGAGCUUUGGAAUUACUCACGGGCGCUGCUAGCACUGCCUCUCUGCAAAGGCGCUUUGGAUGAGGCCUAGGAUAGGCUCGAGUUGAUUCGAUCGAUUUCUUCUCACGUCGAAAGGAAAAAUAGAUUUCUCCUGCACCCCACUUGUGUGUAUAUAUGGUCAAGGAGUCCUACCUUGUUUGGGGUUCGUCAGCAGAAAUCCUAACAGCAAAAGCAUCAUCUAGUUGACCAGGAGCCCAAGAUCUUGGUCCAAGCUGAAUCAACGAAGGCAUGGAUCGAUAUAGCUCCAGAACAGAAACCGAAACGACGGCGACAAGUGGUGUUCAGGGAAGAGGGGAGCAGGGACAGGUUGCUUUCGCGCAGAGCAACGCUGGCCGGUGCGGGACGAGUACGGGUGCAGAUGGAAUCUAUUAAAGACCCCCGAUGGGAGCACAACCACCAUCACCCAUGGCGAUCGAUGACGACGAUGCCGAUCUAUCCGACACCGAAUCCAACCCGCCACUUGAAUGCGCGUCCCAUCCCCGCGUUCAGUGCUCUCCCUCUUCCUCCUCUCGACCACGCACAGCAGCUACGGAGCCUGCUCCUCCAUGGCUCCUGUUUCACCUCGCAUUUGCCGCUCGGUCGGCUCCCGUUGAGUUAAAACCUAAUUAACCUAGCCGGUCGAUCCAUUCAAAGCUACGGGCAGUACACGUACGAGUGCUAGCUCGACGCAGUAAUGCAAUGGUAGUUGGCCGGGGAUCGAUCUCCAUAGCGCCGUAGACAUCAGGAACACACAGCAGAGGAAGAACAGGGCCUGAAUGCCUGACGAGAAACAGCACCGUACACAUACACGGGUUCCAUGGAUCGAUGUGGUAGUAUAGUACUUUUCAAGUUUUAUAACAGCAGGGAAUUAAUUAAAAACAACACGCGUGGAUUAUUGAGAACGAAAUUGAACAGAUGGUGGUGGUCGGAGUAUCGAGCUCUCUCUCGUGUCUCGUGCCUCGAUUCCUCCUCGUGUUCUUGAUGGGCGGAAACAGAUGUAUCUUCUCCUCAUCCUCUUCCUCAGACGUGGUGGUAGCUGUGUGUGUGAAACUGCGAAUGGUGGACGGACGGUAGCAGUAAAUGGCCAUGGUGGGCGGCCGCCACGGCGGACGGACGGAUAGGGUUCAGUUCUUGGCGGCCACCGCCUCGGCGUGCUUGUGCGGCACCUCCGUGCUCAUCUCCUUGAGCUUCUCCUCCACCUUGUCAACGGCGGCGGCGGUGGAGUCCUCCUCCUUGUCUUCCUUCUUCUCUUCCCCGGCGGCGGCGGCGGGGGCCUCUUUCUUGGGCUCCUCUUUCUUCCCCUCCUCGGCUCCCUCUUUCUUGUCCGCCACCACUUCCUUCGCCGCAGCGCCGUUGCCGUUUCCGUUGGCGACGACCUCACCGGCCCUGGCAGCAGCAGCGGCGGCGGCGACCGGCGGCGGCCCGUCGGCCUCGAACGCCUCGACGGGGAAGGUCCUGGACAAUCCCCCGAUAGCCUUGCAGUGGAGCUUGCCCUGGGGCGGGUCAUCCACACAGAUCUCGUGGAGCGUGACCCAGAUGAGCAUCUCCUUGGCCUUGACGCCGGUGAUCUUCUUGAGGCGGCCCUUCUCCGCGACCGCCGACACCUCGGCGCCGUAGGAGACGUGGCGCCCGGCCUUGGCGAAGUAGUGGUCCACCUUGCGGCGCUGCUUGAGCCACACGAACCCCGUCUCCUCCACGUACCCGCACUCGACGAUGUCCUUGAGCGGGAGGAGGCCGCUGGGAAGGCCCGUCUCCUCGAGGAGGAGCCGGGUCUUCUCCUGACCCGCCGCGUCGCCCACGU
rnacentral:lncRNA from 1 species